GCUUACGGCCAUACCAGCCUGUACGCCCGAUCUCGUCCGAUCUCGGAAGCUAAGCAGUGUCGGGCCUGGUUAGUACUUGGAUGGGAGACCGCCUGGGAAUACCAGGUGCUGUAAGCUUUU
rnacentral:rRNA from 1 species